rnacentral:rRNA from 1 species
UACGGAGGUGCGAGCGUUGUCCGGAAUCACUGGGCGUAAAGGGCGCGUAGGCGGCGCGGGAAGUCCGUGGUGAAAGCCCGAGGCUCAACUUCGGGUCGGCCAUGGAUACUCCUGGGCUCGAGCACUGUAGAGGCAGGUGGAAUUCCGGGUGUAGCGGUGGAAUGCGUAGAGAUCCGGAAGAACACCGGUGGCGAAGGCGGCCGACUGG